AAGGAUUUAAGUUAAAUAAACUUAUAGCCUUCAAAGCUAUCAUUAGGGGUUUCAAUUCUUUAAGCCUUG
rnacentral:tRNA from 1 species